UUGCCUCAGUAACGGCGAGUGAAGCGGCAACAGCUCAAAUUUGAAAUCCGGCCCCCGGGGCCCGAGUUGUAAUUUGCAGAGGGAGUUUCGGAGGCGGCGCCGGCCUAAGUUCCUUGGAACAGGGCGUCACAGAGGGUGAGAAUCCCGUACGUGGCCGGCGAUCAAUUCCGGGUGAAACCCCUUCGACGAGUCGAGUUGUUUGGGAAUGCAGCUCAAAACGGGUGGUAAAUUCCAUCUAAAGCUAAAUACCGGCCGGAGACCGAUAGCGCACAAGUAGAGUGAUCGAAAGAUGAAAAGCACUUUGGAAAGAGAGUUAAACAGUACGUGAAAUUGUUGAAAGGGAAGCGCUUGCGACCAGACUUGCUCGCGGGUGAUCAGCCUCCCUUCGGGGGUGGUGCACUCGCCCGCGAUCAGGCCAGCAUCGGUUUCGGCGGGCGGAUAAAGCCCCCGGGAAUGUAGCUCCCCUCGGGGAGUGUUAUAGCCCGGGGCGUAAUGCGCCCAGCCGGGACCGAGGACCGCGCUCCGGCUAGGAUGCUGGCAUAAUGGUCGUCAGCGACCCGUCUUGAAACACGGACCAAGGAGUCUAACAUCUAUGCGAGUGUUUGGGUGUCAAACCCGUGCGCGGAAUGAAAGUGAACGGAGGUGGGAACCCCUUCGGGGGCGCACCAUCGACCGAUCCUGAUGUCUUCGGAUGGAUUUGAGUAGGAGCAUAGCCGUUGGGACCCGAAAGAUGGUGAACUAUGCGUGAAUAGGGUGAAGCCAGAGGAAACUCUGGUGGAGGCUCGCAGCGGUUCUGACGUGCAAAUCGAUCGUCAAAUUUGCGUAUAGGGGCGAAAGGUACGUCGUUGAAUUUCUCGUGUCCAUUUUGUGUAGGUAGUGUGCUGACUUUUUUUUUUGACAGACUAAUCGAACCAUCUAGUAGCUGGUUUCAGCNNNNUUNCCNUCAGGAUNNNAUAACGUUUNNNUUUNAUGAGNNANNNNNUGAUUAANGGCCUUGGGGGCAAACCCCNUNACCUAUCUCAACUUUAA
rnacentral:rRNA from 1 species